rnacentral:rRNA from 1 species
UACGUAGGCAGCGAGCGUUGUUCGGAGUUACUGGGCGUAAAGGGCGCGUAGGCGGUUCGUUAAGUCCUGUGUGAAAUCCCCCGGCUCAACUGGGGGAACUGCACAGGAAACUAGCGGGCUUGAGUUCGGGAGAGGGAAGCGGAAUUCCGGGUGUAGCGGUGAAAUGCGUAGAUAUCCGGAGGAACACCGGUGGCGAAGGCGGCUUCCUGGACCGACACUGACGCUGAGGCGCGAAAGCUAGGGGAGCAAACGGG